rnacentral:rRNA from 1 species
CCCGCACAAGCGGUGGAGCAUGUGGUUAAUUCGAAGCAACGCGAAGAACCUUACCAGGUCUUGACAUCCCGAUGCUAUUUCUAGAGAUAGAAAGUUACUUCGGUACAUCGGUGACAGGUGGUGCAUGGUUGUCGUCAGCUCGUGUCGUGAGAUGUUGGGUUAAGUCCCGCAACGAGCGCAACCCCUAUUGUUAGUUGCCAUCAUUCAGUUGGGCACUCUAGCGAGACUGCCGGUAAUAAACCGGAGGAAGGUGGGGAUGACGUCAAAUCAUCAUGCCCCUUAUGACCUGGGCUACACACGUGCUACAAUGGUUGGUACAACGAGUUGCGAGUCGGUGGCGGCGAGCUAAUCUCUUAAAGCCAAUCUCAGUUCGGAUUGUAGGCUGCAACUCGCCUACAUGAAGUCGGAAUCGCUAGUAAUCGCGGAUCAGCACGCCGCGGUGAAUACGUUCCCGGGCCUU